rnacentral:rRNA from 1 species
CACGUAGGGCGCAAGCGUUGUCCGGAAUUAUUGGGCGUAAAGAGCUCGUAGGCGGUCUGUUGCGUCCGCUGUGAAAACUCGGGGCUUAACCCCGAGCCUGCAGUGGAUACGGGCAGACUAGAGGUAGGUAGGGGAGAAUGGAAUUCCCGGUGUAGCGGUGAAAUGCGCAGAUAUUGGGAAGAACACCAGUGGCGAAGGCGGUUCUCUGGGACGGUACUGACGCUGAGACGCGAAAGCGUGGGGAGCGAACAGG